CAGCAAGACGGUGAUUAUCGUUCUGAUGCAGCCCUUCCUGAUGCCAGGCACUGAUCUUCGCACGUGUUGAUGCAUUGACUCCUCAGAACCACCCCAGGAGGCCCUGAGGACUUGGGAAUGUGCAAAGCAGAGCAAGCCCCUGCCUUCAGGGUAGGUGGACAGGCGGUGGACGCGGAGCUGAGCCUGGGCGUCCCGAGGAAGGAGUCAGGAGCAGUCACUUCUGCUGACGGCCGCUUCCACAGCCUCAUCCUGAAAGCAGUUGUGGUUCAGAGAAGUCAGCGUCUUUGGCAGGAGCUGGGCCACCGUCGCCUAGACCACGCUGGGGUGCAAAGUGCUGACAUCCUCCCCAGCACUGUCCUCAACAGCCGGGAGGCAGGCACAGGGGAAAACCCACCAGCAACACCAGCUCCGCAGCGUCCACGCCUGCCGAGGAUGCUGCAGAAAAGGACAGAAGACCAGAACAAUUAGGUGAGCACGGUGGCGCGCGCCUGUAGUCCCAGCUACUCAGGAAGCUGAGGCAGGAGAAUCGCUUGAACCCAGGAGGCGGGGGUUGCAGUGAGUUGAGAUGGCGCCAGUGCACUACAGCCUGGGUGACAGAGCAAGACUGCAUCUCAAAAGAAAACAAAACCAAAAUCUAUUGCAUGUUUCUACAUGGCUAUUGUGCCUAUGCCCCCACUAUCAACCGCCAUGCCCAGAAUGGCCCAUUGGUCCCAGGAGAAGGAUGAGCCAGCCCAACCAAGACAGCCGACCUCCAGCUGAGCAGGAACUAUAUUAAUGGGUCCAGCCAAGGUCCGCCAACCUGAAGCCAACUCCCUGCUCAAGAGAAUAAAAGGUUGGGGGUGGUUUCCCUGGCA
rnacentral:lncRNA from 13 species